AGAGUUUGAUCCUGGCUCAGGACGAACGCUGGCGGCGUGCUUAACACAUGCAAGUCGAACGAGAGGACAAGAGAAGCUUGCUUCUUUUGGAAUCGAGUGGCAAACGGGUGUGUAACACGUAAACAACCUGCCUUCAGGAUGGGGACAACAGACGGAAACGACUGCUAAUACCGAAUACGCUUGGAAGACCGCAUGAUCUUCCAAGGAAAGGGUGGCCUCUACCUGUAAGCUAUCGCCUGAAGAGGGGUUUGCGUCUGAUUAGGCAGUUGGUGAGGUAACGGCCCACCAAACCUACGAUCAGUAGCCGGUCUGAGAGGAUGAACGGCCACACUGGAACUGAGACACGGUCCAGACUCCUACGGGAGGCAGCAGUGGGGAAUCUUCCGCAAUGGGCGAAAGCCUGACGGAGCAACGCCGCGUGAGUGAUGACGGCCUUCGGGUUGUAAAGCUCUGUGAUCGGGGACGAACGGUCCGUAAGUCAAUACCUUAUGGAAGUGACGGUACCCGAAUAGCAAGCCACGGCUAACUACGUGCCAGCAGCCGCGGUAAUACGUAGGUGGCAAGCGUUGUCCGGAAUUAUUGGGCGUAAAGCGCGCGCAGGCGGCUUUCUAAGUCCAUCUUAAAAGUGCGGGGCUUAACCCCGUGAUGGGAUGGAAACUGGAAAGCUGGAGUAUCGGAGAGGAAAGUGGAAUUCCUAGUGUAGCGGUGAAAUGCGUAGAGAUUAGGAAGAACACCGGUGGCGAAGGCGACUUUCUGGACGACAACUGACGCUGAGGCGCGAAAGCGUGGGGAGCAAACAGGAUUAGAUACCCUGGUAGUCCACGCCCUAAACGAUGUCUACUGGUUGUUGGGGUUUUUUAACCUUGGUAACGAAGCUAACGCGUGAAGUAGACCGCCUGGGGAGUACGGUCGCAAGAUUAAAACUCAAAGGAAUUGACGGGGACCCGCACAAGCGGUGGAUGAUGUGGAUUAAUUCGAUGCAACGCGAAAAACCUUACCUAGCCUUGACAUGCCAGGAAUCCUGAAGAGAUUCGGGAGUGCCCGCGAGGGAAUCUGGACACAGGUGCUGCAUGGCUGUCGUCAGCUCGUGUCGUGAGAUGUUGGGUUAAGUCCCGCAACGAGCGCAACCCUUGUCACUAGUUGCUACGCAAGAGCACUCUAGUGAGACUGCCGGUGACAAACCGGAGGAAGGUGGGGAUGACGUCAAGUCCUCAUGGCCCUUAUGGCUAGGGCCUCACACGUCAUACAAUGGUCGGAACAGAGGGCAGCGAAGCCGCGAGGUGGAGCAAAUCCCAGAAAACCGAUCGUAGUCCGGAUUGCAGUCUGCAACUCGACUGCAUGAAGUCGGAAUCGCUAGUAAUCGCGGAUCAGCAUGCCGCAGUGAAUACGUUCCCGGGUCUUGUACACACCGCCCGUCACACCAUGGGAGUGGGGUUCACCAGAAGACGUUUGUUUAACCGCAAGGAGGACGGCGUCCACGGUGGGCUUCAUGACUGGGGUGAAGUCGUAACAAGGUA
rnacentral:rRNA from 1 species